AAGGUAGUUAAAAGUUUUUUUUUUUGUAGAAGAUAAGUACAAAAUAUUUGUCCUUUAAUUUGAAUAUGUGUAUAUAUAUAUAUAUAGAGAGAGAGAGAGAGAGAGAGAGAGAGAGAGAGAGAGUUGGACUGGGUUACUAUUAGUAACAAAAUCCCAUUAUUGCUACCAGUUUUUUAGCCUUUAGAUCAACUCUUUUCAUUAUUUUUAACCAUUGGAUUAAAUACUAUAACCCAGUGGGAACCACUCAACCCUAGGGGGACCACUCAACUCUAACCGACUAAUAUCAUUUUGACCCUAUAAUUUUUCAUCCAAGAGUUAAAAACUUGAUAGCAAAAAGAGCGUUUUACUAUUAAUAGUAUUCCAGUCUAAUUAUAUAUAUAUAUAUAUUUGAAUAGUUCUAAUAUUAAACUUGGUCAAAUAA
rnacentral:lncRNA from 1 species